AUACGUAGGGGGCAAGCGUUAUCCGGAAUUAUUGGGCGUAAAGAGUGCGUAGGUGGUUUUGUAAGCGCGGGGUGAAAGGCUAUGGCUCAACCAUAGUAAGCCUUGCGAACUGUGAGACUUGAGUGCAGGAGAGGAAAGUGGAAUUCCUAGUGUAGCGGUGAAAUGCGUAGAUAUUAGGAGGAACACCAGUGGCGAAGGCGACUUUCUGGGCCACGACUGACGCUGAGGCGCGAAAGC
rnacentral:rRNA from 1 species